UACGUAGGGGGCAAGCGUUGUCCGGAAUCAUUGGGCGUAAAGAGCGUGUAGGCGGCUCGGUAAGUCCGCUGUGAAAGUCCAGGGCUCAACCCUGGAAUGCCGGUGGAAACUGUCGAGCUAGAGUCCGGAAGAGGCGAGUGGAAUUCCUGGUGUAGCGGUGAAAUGCGCAGAUAUCAGGAGGAACGCCAAUGGCGAAGGCAGCUCGCUGGGACGGUACUGACGCUGAGACGCGAAAGCGUGGGGAGCAAACAGG
rnacentral:rRNA from 1 species